rnacentral:rRNA from 1 species
CGAACCGUCCAAACGUUAUUCGGAAUCACUGGGCUUACAGAGUUCGUAGGCGGUCUGGAAAGUUGGGUGUGAAAUCCCUCGGCCUAACCGAGGAACUGCGCUUGAAACUACCAGACUCGAGGGGGAUAGAGGAAAGCGGAACUGAUGGUGGAGCGGUGAAAUGCGUUGAUAUCAUCAGGAACACCGGUGGCGAAGGCGGCUUUCUGGGUCUUACCUGACGCUGAGGAACGAAAGCCAGGGGAGCGAACGGGAUUAGAUACCCCGGUAGUCCUGGCCGUAAACGAUGAGCACUAGGUCGUGGGCCUCCACAGGCCCUCGGCCGUAGCGAAAGUGUUAAGUGCUCCGCCUGGGGAGUAUGGUCGCAAGGCUG